GUGGAAAUGUGGAAUGACUGGAGCAGUGCUGAGAUGCCACGUGGAAAAGGUUUCCGCCGGUCCCAGGCAGCCAAGAGGAGAAAUGCUGAGCGCUACUCACUUGGUUCGUUCAUGAACUUGGAUGAGGUUAAGCCUCCUCUCACAAAAAAGGCAGCUUCCCAGAGCUCUGAGAAAGAGAGCCCUAACAUUAAUACUACGGAUCAAAACUGCCCCAAGGCAGGCGAAACUUGUCAUAACUGCCUCAAGGCAGGCAAUACUUGUCAUAACUGCCUCAAGGUGGGCAAUACUUGUCAAAACUGCCUCAAGGCGGGCAAUACUUGUCAUAACUGCCUCAAGGCAGGCAAUACUUGUCAUAACUGCCUCAAGGCAGGCGAAACUUGUCAAAACUGCCUCAAGGCAGGCAAUACUUGUCAUGACUGCCUCAAGGCAGGCAAUACUUGUCAUGAUUGCCUCAAGGCAGGCAAUACUUGUACAAAGUCUGGAAAAAGUUUUCCAAAGUCUGAUAAGUGCAAUGAUGCUGCUGCAUGUUUUCAUGUUAAUAGCUCUGAUUAUUUUCCCCAGCAAGUCAUACGGGGUUCCUUCCAUCAGGGUGAUGCGCAAUUUGGUUUGAACAGAAACCGUCAGUGUGCAGUGAACAGUAUGGCAGCAGUCAUGAUGAGUGUGCUGAAGGAUGUGCUGAUGUGGACAAUAGAGGACCUGAAUGCUGUUCUUUUGCAUGGAAAUGAACUGUACACAUCAAUGAGAUUGCAAGGCAAGAUCAAUGAUCGAACAGGGCUGGGUCAUAUUUCUGUUGCAGAACUGCCAAAAGUGCACACACUUCAGAACACAACAUUCUCAAUAAAGCAUGGAGAAUCUUUCUCAGGUGUUUUUGGUGUUGAUUUCUAUGAUGACUCAUUGAGAGAUGUUUCCAUGUCUAUAGAAGAAGCACUUCAG
ensembl:lncRNA